UACAGAGGGUGCAAGCGUUGUUCGGAAUUAUUGGGCGUAAAGGGCGCGUAGGCGGUGCGGUAAGUCUGUAGUGAAAUCUCUGGGCUCAACUCAGAGUCUGCUGCAGAAACUGCCGUGCUUGAGUGUGGGAGAGGUGAGUGGAAUUCCCGGUGUAGCGGUGAAAUGCGUAGAUAUCGGGAAGAACACCCGUGGCGAAGGCGGUUCUCUGGGACGGUACUGACGCUGAGACGCGAAAGCGUGGGGAGCGAA
rnacentral:rRNA from 1 species